AUUGAACGCUGGCGGCAUGCCUUACACAUGCAAGUCGAACGGCAGCACGGGAGCAAUCCUGGUGGCGAGUGGCGAACGGGUGAGUAAUACAUCGGAACGUGCCCAAUCGUGGGGGAUAACGCAGCGAAAGCUGUGCUAAUACCGCAUACGAUCUACGGAUGAAAGCAGGGGACCGCAAGGCCUUGCGCGAAUGGAGCGGCCGAUGGCAGAUUAGGUAGUUGGUGGGGUAAAGGCUCACCAAGCCAACGAUCUGUAGCUGGUCUGAGAGGACGACCAGCCACACUGGGACUGAGACACGGCCCAGACUCCUACGGGAGGCAGCAGUGGGGAAUUUUGGACAAAGGGCGCAAGCCUGAUCCAGCCAUGCCGCGUGCAGGAUGAAGGCCUUCGGGUUGUAAACUGCCUUUGUACGGAACGAAACGGCCUUUUCUAAUAAAGAGGGCUAAUGACGGUACCGUAAGAAUAAGCACCGGCUAACUACGUG
rnacentral:rRNA from 1 species